CAAUAGCGUAUAUUAAAGUUGUUGCAGUUAAAAAGCUCGUAGUUGGAUUUCUGGUGGGAGCGAUCGGUCUGGCGCUUAGCGCGAGUACUUGCAUCGUCUCCGGCCAUCCUUGGGGAAAGUCUGUCUGGCAUUAAGUUGUCGGGCAGAGGAUCCUCAUCGUUUACUGUGAAAAAAUUAGAGUGUUCAAAGCAGGCUUAUGCCGUUGAAUAUAUUAGCAUGGAAUAAUAAGAUAGGACUUUGGUACUAUUUUGUUGGUUUGCGCACCAAAAUAAUGAUUAAUAGGGACAGUUGGGGGUAUUCGUAUUCCGUUGUCAGAGGUGAAAUUCUUGGAUUUACGGAAGACGAACUACUGCGAAAGCAUUUACCAAGGAUGUUUUCAUUAA
rnacentral:rRNA from 1 species